rnacentral:rRNA from 1 species
GUGAGUAACACGUGAGUAACCUGCCCCCGAUUUCGGGAUAAGCCCGGGAAACUGGGUCUAAUACCGGAUAUGACCAGAGGACGCAUGUUCUGUGGUGGAAAGUUUUUCGAUCGGGGAUGGGCUCGCGGCCUAUCAGCUUGUUGGUGGGGUAAUGGCCUACCAAGGCGACGACGGGUAGCCGGCCUGAGAGGGCGACCGGCCACACUGGGACUGAGACACGGCCCAGACUCCUACGGGAGGCAGCAGUGGGGAAUAUUGCACAAUGGGGGAAACCCUGAUGCAGCGACGCAGCGUGCGGGAUGACGGCCUUCGGGUUGUAAACCGCUUUCAGCAGGGAAGAAGCGAAAGUGACGGUACCUGCAGAAGAAGUACCGGCUAACUACGUGCCAGCAGCCGCGGUAAUACGUAGGGUACGAGCGUUGUCCGGAAUUAUUGGGCGUAAAGAGCUCGUAGGUGGUUGGUCACGUCUGCUGUGGAAACGCAACGCUUAACGUUGCGCGGGCAGUGGGUACGGGCUGACUAGAGUGCAGUAGGGGAGUCUGGAAUUCCUGGUGUAGCGGUGAAAUGCGCAGAUAUCAGGAGGAACACCGGUGGCGAAGGCGGGACUCUGGGCUGUAACUGACACUGAGGAGCGAAAGCAUGGGGAGCGAACAGGAUUAGAUACCCUGGUAGUCCAUGCCGUAAACGUUGGGCACUAGGUGUGGGGGACAUUCCACGUUCUCCGCGCCGUAGCUAACGCA